AGAUUAAGUUAUUAAGGGCGCACGGUGGAUGCCUUGGCACUAGAAGCCGAUGAAGGACGUUACUAACGACGAUAUGCUUUGGGGAGCUGUAAGUAAGCUUUGAUCCAGAGAUUUCCGAAUGGGGAAACCCAGCAUGAGUUAUGUCAUGUUAUCGAUAUGUGAAUACAUAGCAUAUCAGAAGGCACACCCGGAGAACUGAAACAUCUUAGUACCCGGAGGAAGAGAAAGAAAAUUCGAUUCCCUUAGUAGCGGCGAGCGAAACGGGAAGAGCCCAAACCAACAAGCUUGCUUGUUGGGGUUGUAGGACACUCUAUACGGAGUUACAAAGGACGACAUUAGACGAAUCAUCUGGAAAGAUGAAUCAAAGAAGGUAAUAAUCCUGUAGUCGAAAAUGUUGUCUCUCUUGAGUGGAUCCUGAGUACGAC
rnacentral:rRNA from 1 species